rnacentral:rRNA from 1 species
UACGUAGGGUGCAAGCGUUGUCCGGAAUUAUUGGGCGUAAAGAGCUCGUAGGCGGUCUGUCGCGUCGGCUGUGAAAUCCCGAGGCUCAACCUCGGGUCUGCAGUCGAUACGGGCAAACUAGAGUAUUGCAGGGGAGACUGGAAUUCCUGGUGUAGCGGUGAAAUGCGCAGAUAUCAGGAGGAACACCGGUGGCGAAGGCGGGUCUCUGGGCAGUAACUGACGCUGAGGAGCGAAAGCCGUGGGGAGCGAACAGG